ensembl:lncRNA
AACUAGUAUUUAAACCCAGGUCGGUCACACUCAGAGUAGUUUGUUAAUAACUAGUAUUUAUACCCAGGUCGGUCACACUCAGAGUAGUUUGUUAAUAACUAGUAUUUAUACCCAGGUUGGUCACACUCAGAGUAGUUUGUUAAUAACUAGUAUUUAUACCCAGGUUGGUCACACUCAGAGUAGUUUGUUAAUAACUAGUAUUUAUACCCAGGUCGGUCACACUCAGAGUAGUUUGUUAAUAAUAACUAGUAUUUAAACCCAGG